rnacentral:rRNA from 1 species
CCUACGGGUGGCUGCAGUAGGGAAUAUUGGGCAAUGGGGGCAACUCUGACCCAGCCAUGCCGCGUGAAGGAAUACAGCCCUACGGGUUUUAAACUUCUUUUAUUAUAGAGUAACCGGAGGUACGUGUACCUCCCUGCAAGUAUAUAAUGAAUAAGGAUCGGCUAACUCCGUGCCAGCAGCCGCGGUAAUACGGAGGAUCCGAGCGUUAUCCGGAUUUAUUGGGUUUAAAGGGUGCGCAGGCUGAUCGAUAAGUCAGGGGUGAAAAAUUUCAGCUUAACUGGAAUCGUGCCUUUGAUACUGUCGGACUAGAGUGUAACUGACGUGACUGGAAUGUGCCGUGUAGCGGUGAAAUGCUUAGAUAUGUCACAGAACGCCAAUCGUGAAGACAGGUCACGAAGUUACUACUGACGCUCAUGCACGAAAGCGUGGGGAUCAAACAGGAUUAGAUACCCUUGUAGUC